ensembl:lncRNA
CUAAGCCUUACCCCAACCUUAACCCUUACCUUUUUAAAUGUCAACUUCAAUGGGGUGACGUCAGAGUUGGGCCCCCAGUGAUCUCGUUUAGACUUUUACAUUCUAAUUACUAGUCAUUUGUUGUUUUCAGUCAAUAGAUGUAGCCCACACAUUGUUGACAGUAAAGAAAAUAGGACUGCCUCGUGUCAUAAUGUCCCUCCCCUCUCGAGGUGUAAAGAGUUAACGGAGCAGUGGGUUUGCCCAUUCUCAUGUUUUGAGUGACGCGAUCAUCUAUGAGACAAGAGAGGAUCCGAGGUGGCCGCGUUUAACGCUGUUGACCACUACAGUCAUUGCGCGCGGGGGACGACAGACAUUCGCCUUUUUUCCCCCGACUUGCUGUGUUUUUCCCGCGGACUUUUCUGUGCUAUUUGACAACAAUGCUCUUAGUUUUCUUACGGAGAAUAGUCACUGUGUCGUGUAUGAAGGCGUAAUCUCGGUGUAGUGGAGCAGCUCGGAUUCUACGAGGCCAAAGAGAACUCUUCUUUGGGAAACCAAACAUGCCGCGGCGGAAACAAGAAGCGCCCAAGCGCGCGGCAGACACUCACACGAACACCAUCCGGAGAUCGGAGGAGAGGAAAAUAACCUAAGACUGAGAUAUCUCCCCUGCUGGUUUGUCCCCCGAGCGCUUGGCCCUCUUUACGAGCGGUGUGCCAGGCCCUGCCAAGCGCACGGGGCCCAGUGACAUCUUUUGAUCAGGGCUGUCGCAGAAGAUCAGCGGAGACUGGCAGUGGGCAGAAAGGGAAGGGGCAAAGGGAGGAGGCUGGUGAUGUGUCCUUCGCCAAGACAUUUGUCCCACUUAGCUGUGACAGUGUGUGGGGACCCAAGUGAGGGAGGGUCUGUCACUACAGGGGACCGUCACUCUCUGAAGACUGGAGGGGGGGUGCUGUGGGAGGGUCGCUGUCCCCUGUGAUCGGUACCCAGAGAACGUACACACCUGUCUAAGGUGAGCCGAGGGCGCACACAUGCAAAGUGACAGGUUGCUUAUGUGUUGCCAUAGUCUCUUACUCAACCUCGCACUCUUAUGUCUGUUUCUCUCUGAGAAAAUGUCUCUGAUGUCCUGUGUAUGUGUGUUUUGCCUAACACCAAGCACCUGUUAGCCUGCUCCAAAAGGCACUUCUAGUCUGUCUGUGAUACUCCUCACCCUUGGUAAUCUCAUGUGCCUCACUUCCAUUUAGUUGACUUUGAAAGGUGUCGAUCUAACAUUUGAAAUAGUCUUAUCAUCAUAAAUCAUAUUUCCCUUUAUUAGCAAUGAGUGGAAAUCCUGUCUGUGUGUGUGUGUCCCUGUCUGUGUGUGUGUGUCCCUGUCUGUGUGUGUGUGUCCCUGUCUGUGUGUGUGUGUCCCUGUCUGUGUCUGUGUGUGUGUGUCCCUGUCUGUGUCCCUGUCUGUGUGUGUGU